rnacentral:rRNA from 1 species
UGGGGGAUAUUGCACAAUGGGCGAAAGCCUGAUGCAGCGACGCCGCGUGGGGGAUGAAGGCCUUCGGGUUGUAAACUUCUUUUGCUCUGAACAAGGCAUGCUAAUGGGUGUGUUGAGUGUAGGGGUUGAUUAGCGCCGGCUAACUACGUGCCAGCAGCCGCGGUAAUACGUAGGGCGCGAGCGUUGUCCGGAAUUAUUGGGCGUAAAGGGCUUGUAGGUGGCUGGUUGCGUCUGUCGUGAAAGCUCAUGGCUUAACUGUGGGUUUGCGGUGGGUACGGGCUGGCUUGAGUGCAGUAGGGGAGGCUGGAAUUCCUGGUGUGGCGGUGGAAUGCGCAGAUAUCAGGAGGAAUACCGGUGGCGAAGGCGGGUCUCUGGGCUGUUACUGACACUGAGGAGCGAAAGCAUGGGGAGCGAACAGG